UAAGGAAUAUUGGUCAAUGGACGCAAGUCUGAACCAGCCAUGCCGCGUGAAGGAUGAAGGUCCUCUGGAUUGUAAACUUCUUUUAUCUGGGACGAAAACGGGAUUUUUAUCUCAAUUGACGGUACCAGAGGAAUAAGCACCGGCUAACUCCGUGCCAGCAGCCGCGGUAAUACAGAGGGUGCGAGCGUUAUCCGGAUUUACUGGGUUUAAAGGGUGCGUAGGUGGGCUUAUAAGUCAGUGGUGAAAUCUCCGAGCUUAACUUGGAAACUGCCGUUGAUACUAUAGGUCUUGAAUUAUCUGGGGGUAAGCGGAAUAUGUCAUGUAGCGGUGAAAUGCUUAGAUAUGACAUAGAACACCAAUUGCGAAGGCAGCUUACUACAUAUAAAUUGACGCUGAGGCACGAAAGCGUGGGGAUCAAACA
rnacentral:rRNA from 1 species